UGAGGCAGCUGGUCACUCGGGACUCAC
rnacentral:piRNA from 1 species